GAUGAACGCUAGCUACAGGCUUAACACAUGCAAGUCGAGGGGUAACGAGAGGAAAGCUUGCUUUCCUUGUCGACGACCGGCGCACGGGUGAGUAACGCGUAUCCAACCUGCCCCCAACUAGGGAAUAACCUUGCGAAAGUAAGACUAAUACCCUAUAAUUUCCUCAGAUGACAUCUGACGAGGAAUAAAGAUUUAUCGGUUGUGGAUGGGGAUGCGUCUGAUUAGCUUGUUGGCGGGGUAACGGCCCACCAAGGCAACGAUCAGUAGGGGUUCUGAGAGGAAGGUCCCCCACAUUGGAACUGAGACACGGUCCAAACUCCUACGGGAGGCAGCAGUGAGGAAUAUUGAUCAAUGGGCGGAAGCCUGAACCAGCCAAGUAGCGUGCAGGAUGACGGCCCUAUGGGUUGUAAACUGCUUUUAUACAGGAAUAAAGUUAGCCACGUGUGGUUAUUUGUAGGUACUGUAUGAAUAAGGACCGGCUAAUUCCGUGCCAGCCGCCGCCGUAA
rnacentral:rRNA from 1 species